UCUUCCUCUUCCUCCUGCUCUCUGCUCUGGAGCCACCAUGUGAUCCUGGCAAGAAAAGAUGCCUGUCCUGGCAUCCAUUAAGAUAAGUCUUUAUGGAUGAUAAUUAAGACUGAGAUAGAAUAUAAGAAAUCCUAGUCAAUUGGCCAAGCAGCAUUUGUACCUAAUAUAAGUCUCUUUGUGUUAUUUGGGGCCAUAAUGUGGCAUGGGCAGAACUAGGGUGGCCUGGCAGAAAGCAUCCACAUGGUGGCAGUGCUCUGGCAUAUGUAGUAAAGAUUUAUUAUAACAUGGGGUUGCCAUAGCUUCCAAUUCAUAGGAACUAUACCAUUGUUUCUUAUUUUGUACAGUUCUGCAUGUGUGUGCAUGUAUUAUUAUGUGUCUUUGGUGGUGUUGUCUAGUCUCUUUCUCCUUCCUUGCAUAGGGUAAUAUACUGAUCUUAUUUUUUAUUCUACAAGAGAUUUAAUGAUUACCAUAUUUUAUUGUGUGUGAGAGAGAAUGGGGAGACAGAGGUAGAAAUAUGAGCUGAAGUUCAUCAAGCAUACUUAAUGACAUUAGAUUUACCUAAAGAUUUCUAAGGCUGGAGAAAUGGUUUAGCCAUUAAAGGCUACAUUCACAACCAAAAUGUAAGAUUUCUAACAUUAUAAUUAGCUCACUAAUUGUUGUGUCCAAAUCACUGCACAACCAACAACAGCUUUUACAAAUUCUAUUAUAUGAGAAAAAUGAAUAAAUUGAACAAGGAAAAUGAAAAUGCAACAGCAAAUGCACACUCUAUUAAAUGAUUACAAGUUUAUUAGAAUUUUAAGUAGGGAGAUUUUAUCAAGUCAUUGAGGUAGCAAAACUAUCUGAAAUAGUAGCUUUUUAUGCAUGUGCUACAAAAUCCCAAAGUCAACAUACAUUUUUCUUUUAGAAUCAAGUACUAAUAUUUGGUUACUUCUAAGAGCAAGUAAUUAUUGCUCCACUCUCUUUUAAAAUCUGUUGAAGUGGCUUUCAUCAGGGCUUUAGACUUCUACUCUAAUUUGCCUAGUAUGUUUUUAUUUUUGGUUGUAAGCCUGGCCUUUAACAGCUGAGCCAUUGCUCCAGCCCUACCUAGUAUAUUUUUAAUAAAAAUAUCUGAUUUUUAAAGGGAAAACCAAGAAAUAUGUUCAGUGUUAUCUUCUAAAGAGCAGCAUCUCCUCAGCCAAAAACUGCCCAGGAAUGCCUUCAAGGGCCACAAACAGCCUGACAUUUCACAGGAGAGUUCUGAACAAUACAGCUUACUCAUGGAAGAUAUCUGUGCCCUCCUCCAAACCCCUUCCACUGUGAAAUUUUCCCACACUAUCUUGUGCAUUGAUUAGUUCAGGUUUCUGCCAUCCUUUCCCUUUGGUUCUACAUUCAUACCUUGAACUUGACAUGCUGCUACCCAGCACAGUGCCCUUGAAGAUUUUAGCACCUAUGAUGGAAGCACUUACUAGCAACUGGCAGAGAGAGAUAUCUGAUUUUAGAUUACUCUUAAAUUCUCUUGAUAAUAACAGUGCAAUACUGUGAACUAGUGUCAUCACUAGUGUUUACUGUCUUGACAUGAAGUUCUUUCAGCAAAUUUUUAAGGGUAGCUAGAUAGUUUCAUGACAGAUCAGACUUAUUCAGGCAAUGCCCAUCUAUUUUAUUACUGUUUUUUUUUUUUUUUGCUAAGUGUCAAAGUUCAAAUUUAUGCACAUUGUUACCAAAGGUAGCAAUAACCUAAACCGAGACCUAGAAGCCAGAGAAAUACCACUUCAUAAUUACAUUACCCUAAAAUCACCAAUGGGGGACUGGAGAGAUGUUUCAAUGGUUAAGAGCACUUGUUGUUCUUGCACAAGAUUGGGUUCAGUUCUCAGUGCUCAGCUCUCAUACUAGAUGGCUCACAACCUCCUAUCACCUCAGUCUCCAGAUCCAAUGCCCUCUCCUGGCCUUUUGGGGUAUGUGUCUGGCGCAACCUGUAAAGUAGGCAGAUAAGGAGCUAGCUGUCUGUGGAAGCUCACUUUAGGGCUGUUUGUAGGGUAAGGCCCAUAGAACAUUUAUGUUCCACUUAGUUUUGUUGGGAACCUAAAAUAGCUUUUAUGAAAGUAAGUCUGUUUAGAACAGGCAAAAAAAAAUGUGUACACCUUCCUCUUCAAACUGGGUUAUUUUUUUCACCCACAGUGGAAGCAAAAUGAACUUUCCAAAACCCACCAUUUCCUUGAAGGUACAUGCAAAAUCACAAUCAGUGUCUUCAUUGCCAAUGGUUUUCUAUAAGUAAUGUGUUCUAUGGAUGAAUGUCCAUGCUGCCUGCCUUUCUCUGGGAAGUAAUACCCACUCCUCUGUAGACAGCAACACCCACUUUGUCUAUUGAUCUAAGAAGAAGCCUCAAACUUACAACCAAGCAAAUAAAUAAACAAAAUAAAAACACUCAAAUAACUCCAUAGUGCUUCAUGAAAAAUAGAACAAAAAGUCAUCAGUCUAGGGAAAGGCUGGUGGGGUUUCACUUCUCUGAAUGACCAAAUAUGAGCUUACCAGCCCUAGUUCUUCAAUGCUGACUCCAAUCAUAUCACAUAUUAUCUAACAGUGUGUGAAUAGAGAGGUUUUCAGUUUCUCUUCCACUUUUACUUUGAAGAUAUCAUUUUAUCAUCUUUACAACCUGCCUAGCUUUAUUAUGAUCUCUAAAACAGAUGUACUUUUCAACUGAAUAGCUAACAAGAGUAAUACUUUGGUUUAUGCUGUUUUCAUCUGGCAUUUUCUACAUAAAUGACUAAUUCAUUAGUUUUCAUACAAAAAAGGAAUGAUUUUGUUCUUUUGUGAAAAAUAUCAAUUGGUUGAGCAGGAUAUGAAUUGGAUGAGUGCUUCAUUCAUAAAUGAUGAUAAAUAAGAAUGACUAAGGAAGUAUUAAAGGUGAAAUCAUAUACCAAUAUAGUGCCACACAUUGACUCUCAUAUUUCCAAUUAACAGAUGUAUUCAUGAGAAACAUAAACACAUUCAUUUCCUGCCUCUUUUCUGUCUAAAACUUGGCCAGAUCCCCCUGUCUGUUUUGACUAUAUGACUUCCUCUUUUUUUGUUUGUUCGUUUGGUUUUGUUUUUUCCUCCAUUUUUAUUUAAAUUAGAAACAGAAUUGUUUUACAUGUCAAUCCCAAAUACCUCUCCCUCCCCUCCUCCCCUGCCCCCAACUAAGAUGCUAACUAUCCCAUACCAUUUCUGCUCCCCAAGGAGAGUGAGGCCUUCCUUGAGGGUUCUUCAGAGUCUGUCAUAUCAUUUGGGAUAGGGACUAUACGCUCCCCAGUGUGUCUAGGCUGAGGGAGUAUCCCCCUAUGUGAAAUGGGCUCCCAAAGUUCAUUCCCAUGUUAGGGAUAAGUACUGAUCUACUACAAGAGGCCCCAUAGAUUUCUGAGGCCUCCUCACUGACACCCACAUUCAUGGUGUCUAGAUCAGUUCCAUGCUGGUUUUCCAGUGAUCAGUCCAGGGACCAAGAGCUCCCCCUUGCUAAGGUCAGCUGUUUCUGUAGGUUUCCCCAGCCUGGAUUUGACCCGUUUGCUCAUCACUCCUCCUUCUCUUCAACUGGAUUCCAGUUCAGUUCACUGUUUCGAUAUGGGUAUCUGCUUCUACUUCCAUCAGCUACUGGAUGAAGGCUCUAGGAUGGCAUAUAAAAUCUUGCUAAUUUGAACCAACUGGGCUUACCCUCACUCUAGAAUAAUCAAUAGAACAUUCAACUGAAAAGACUGUCAAGAACAUGGGUCAGGCCCUUUCCGUGGACUCAUCGCAGACCAGGUGAGCCACCCCCUGCUUUUACCCAAUUCUUGUCCUAAGCGCCAUCCACAGAUCCCUCCAGGCUCGUCCCUGCUUGAAACAGACACGCCCAGGCAGGGUGGAGCUUCCUGAAUCUGGCUUGGUUCAGGACACUCUUCCUUCCCUUUCCGUGGACUCAUCGCAGACCAGGUGAGCCACCCCCUGCUUUUAC
ensembl:lncRNA